rnacentral:rRNA from 1 species
GACAGAGGGUGCAAACGUUGUUCGGAAUUACUGGGCGUAAAGCGCGUGUAGGCUGCUUGGAAAGUCGGGUGUGAAAGCCCUGAGCUCAACUCAGGAAGUGCACUCGAAACUUCCGAGCUCGAGUCCUGGAGAGGGUGGCGGAAUUCUCGGUGUAGCGGUGAAAUGCGUAGAUAUCGAGAGGAACACCUGCGGCGAAGGCGGGUUACUGGGCCGACACUGACGCUGAUGCGCGAAAGCCAGGGGAGCGAACGGG